AUGUUAGACCAUAAAGAAGCUAUCAUAUCUCAUUUAAUUUGGGCUAGCCUCUUUCUAGGAUUCCAUACCUUGGGCCUUUAUGUUCAUAACGACGUCAUGCUUGCUUUUGGUACUCCAGAAAAGCAAAUCUUGAUCGAACCUAUAUUUGCCCAAUGGAUACAAUCUGCUCAUGGCAAGACGACAUAUGGGUUCGAUAUACUCUUAUCUUCAACGAAUGGCCCCGCUUUCAAUGCGGGUCGAAGCCUAUGGUUGCCCAGAUGGUUGAAUGCUGUUAAUGAGAAUAGUAAUUCGCUUUUCUUAACAAUAGGACCUGGGGAUUUCUUGGUUCAUCAUGCUAUUGCUCUAGGUUUGCAUACAACUACAUUGAUUUUAGUAAAGGGCGCUUUAGAUGCACGCGGUUCCAAAUUAAUGCCAGAUAAAACGGAUUUUGGAUAUAGUUUUCCUUGUGACGGCCCAGGGUGCGGCGGUACUUGUGAUAUUUCUGCUUGCGACGCAUUUUAUUUGGCAGUUUUCUGGAUGUUAAAUACCAUUGGGUGGGUUACUUUUUAUUGGCAUUGGAAACAUAUCACAUUAUGGCAGGGCAACGUUUCACAAUUUAAUGAAUCCUCCACUUAUUUGAUGGGAUGGUUAAGAGAUUACCUAUGGUUAAACUCUUCACAACUUAUCAAUGGAUAUAAUCCUUUUGGGAUGAAUAGUUUAUCGGUAUGGGCGUGGAUGUUCUUAUUUGGACAUCUUGUUUGGGCUACUCGAUUUAUGUUCUUAAUUUCCUGGCGGGGGUAUUGGCAGGAAUUAAUUGAGACUUUAGCAUGGGCUCAUGAACGCCCACCUUUAGCUAAUUUAAUUCGCUGGAGAGAUAAGCCCGUGGCUCUUUCCAUUGUGCAAGCAAGAUUGGUUGGAUUAGCUCACUUUUCCGUGGGUUAUAUAUUCACUUAUGCAGCUUUCUUGAUUGCCUCAACAUCAGGCAAGUUUGGUUAA
rnacentral:rRNA from 1 species